UACGGAGAGUUUGAUUCUGGCUCAGAACGAACGCUGGCGGCGUGGAUAAGACAUGCAAGUCGAGCGAGAUUUUUUUCUGUAGCAAUACAGGGAAAAGUCUAGCGGCGAACGUGCGUAACACGUGGGCAACCUGCCAGAAGUGGGGAUAGCUCGCCGAAAGGCGAAUUAAUACCGCAUGUGAUCAGAGUGGACAUCCAUUCAAAAUCAAAGUCGGGCAACCUGACGCUUCUUGAGGGCCCGCGGCCUAUCAGCUAGUUGUGAGGUAACGGCCCACCAAGGCUUAGACGGGUAGCUGGUCUGAGAGGACGACCAGUCACACUGGGACUGAGACACGGCCCAGACACCUACGGGUGGCAGCAGUCGAGAAUUUUUCUCAAUGGGGGAAACCCUGAAGGAGCGACGCCGCGUGGAGGAUGAAGGUCUUCGGGUUGUAAACUCCUGUCAUUUGGGAACAAUGCGCAAAUAUUAACUGUAUUUGCGUUGAUAGUACCAGAAGAGGAAGGGACGGCUAACUCUGUGCCAGCAGCCGCGGUAAUACAGAGGUCUCAAGCGUUGUUCGGAUUCAUUGGGCGUAAAGGGUGCGUAGGCGGCGCGGUAAGUCGGGUGUGAAAUCUCGGGGCUUAACUCCGAAACUGCAUUCGAUACUGCCGUGCUUGAGGACUGGAGAGGAGACUGGAAUUUACGGUGUAGCGGUGAAAUGCGUAGAUAUCGUAAGGAAGACCAGUGGCGAAGGCGGGUCUCUGGACAGUUCCUGACGCUGAGGCACGAAGGCCAGGGGAGCAAACGGGAUUAGAUACCCCGGUAGUCCUGGCAGUAAACGGUGCACGUUUGGUGUGGGAGGAUUCGACCCCUUCUGCGCCGGAGCUAACGCGUUAAACGUGCCGCCUGGGGAGUACGGUCGCAAGAUUAAAACUCAAAGAAAUUGACGGGGGCCCGCACAAGCGGUGGAGUAUGUGGCUCAAUUCGAUGCAACGCGAAGAACCUUACCUGGCCUUGACAUGCAUCUCUAAGUUGGUGAAAGCCAGCGAGUCCCGAAAGGGACAAUUUGCACAGGUGCUGCAUGGCUGUCGUCAGCUCGUGUCGUGAGAUGUUGGGUUAAGUCCCGCAACGAGCGCAACCCCUGUGAACUGUUGCCACCGA
rnacentral:rRNA from 1 species